rnacentral:rRNA from 1 species
CGACCGCGACCCCAGGUCAGGCGGGAAUUACCCGCUGAGUU